rnacentral:rRNA from 1 species
UACGGAGGGGGCUAGCGUUGUUCGGAAUUACUGGGCGUAAAGCGCACGUAGGCGGCUUUGUAAGUUAGAGGUGAAAGCCCGGAGCUCAACUCCGGAAUUGCCUUUAAGACUGCAUCGCUCGAAUCAUGGAGAGGUGAGUGGAAUUCCGAGUGUAGAGGUGAAAUUCGUAGAUAUUCGGAAGAACACCAGUGGCGAAGGCGACUAACUGGACAUGUAUUGACGGUGAGGUGCGAAAGCGUGGGGAGCAAACAGG